UGCAUCUCUUGUAGCGUAAGGCACCUUGUUCUGCGUGUUGGCGAGGUUGACCCCACCAUUCGUUCCCCACCAUCACUCGCAUCAGAGCAUCGAACCUUGUGUGCGCACGCUCACUCAUCUCUCUUCUGCCGGGCCCCUCAAGCGGUCUUUUUCUGUUGCUUCUCUCUUCUCUCUACCCUGUGUGCAUGUGUCUAUAUCUUCGUGCCUAUAUACACCACUACUAAGUUUCGUUUCUUUCCCCGCUCACUGUGUGCAGCGUCGUGACGUCCUCCUUUCGACACCCACCCACCACGCUUCCACAGCACUGUCUGCACUGUGGAAGAGCGAGAGUCUCACGCUCUCUCCUCAGCCUUUUAUGGCCCUGUUCUGUUGAAGCCCUCCAACCCCCUCCCCUUCCCUUCCGCCUACGUGCCCCUCACCGUACAUUCUCUCGCUCUUCCUCUCUCGUGCAGCUGAAGGAGUACUAAAGAAGACGAUCGAGGUGCAGACAAAGAAGUUGAUCCUUGUCCGUGUUGCGUGGCACGCCUCCCUCUUGACCAGCUGCCGUCGACUCAUUUCACGUUGUGCGUGUGUGUUCGCUGGCGUGGGCACUUGCGCGCCACUCAUCGCCAACGCCUCCUUCCCUCUGUCCUGCUUUCCUUGUCCAACUGCCCUGCGAGUACGUGUCUUCCACAUCUACUCUUCAACGCCUCCUCAUCACGCCGCCGAAGACAAGGCUCAGACCGACGCUCAGCGAAGUAGUGGCAAAGCGAUUCACCCGAAAGCGCGAGGAACCGGAGGUGUGCAUCGGUGUUUCGCGUGCCGUGCGAGGUGUGAUUGAUGUUCACAGAUCCCCUGAACGAACUCCUUACCGAGGCGCAGUACGAGUCGGGGCGUUCUAUGCCCCGCUCCAACUGCGAGACACCAGGUCAAAUAUCGAUGACAGAGGUGUUUCCAGCGCCGAGGACGCCGAGCUCAACGACUGCGGGGGCACGCGGCCGUGCCUACUCCCCCCACUCUGGUAGCCACGGCCGGCGGCGAGCGAGCUCCUCUGUCCAAAUGGCUGGGGGUAUCAUCAGCGUCUCCACCCAUGACGGCGAGGAGCUUCACUACCCCGUCGUGCAAGGACGCGCUGGCGGAAGCCUGUCACCGCACUCGCACUCAGCGGAGUCGUCCCCGAGCAUUGCCAUGCGGUCGAGCUUGGCAGCCCGCGUUCAUCGACACACCUCGAUCACCUCCAGAUCUACGUCUUCUCUUAGCAUACUGCAAGGCGCGAUCGACUCUGGAGGCGCUGAUGAAGGCGAGACCAGCGCUGACGCGCGGGAGUCCUAUCGACACAGCCGCCUCACCCCGUCAUCGAUUCAACGACAUCGACGCGUAAGCGGCGCGACCAGCCGUACCCCGCCAGCCGCGCUCGCCCUGCGCAGCGAGCCUGUCGAGGAGUUCGCGCAACCGAGCCCGACCCAAGUUGCCACGCCCUCCUGGUCGAUGCCGUCGACGCCGCGCCACUCGAUACAGCGCACCCCCCCGUCAGGCAGACGAGCUGACUGGUUGAGUCUGGCAGCGGAUGGAGUGUUAGGCCGAAGUGCCGACGUAGGUCGAUCUCAGCACACCGCACCUGAAGGUGCUCCCAUCAGGGUGGAGGAGAUGGGGGUGAGCACGCCGGAGAUGGCCGAGUAUUUUGCCGAAAGCGCCCUCGAUGCGGCGCGGAGGCGCGAGUCUUCGGGGAUGCUGAGCAACAGCAACAGUGCUAGCUGGCCACUUUUCCACGAACAGGCGGCACCUCGGCGCUCGCUUCCGGAAAGCAGUUCCCACCCUGCGUCUCACAAUGACAAACACGCGUUUCUGGAGCGUCUCAUGCGCUUCAUGGAAGAUCAGUCCGCUUCUAUGCAGCGGCUGCAUCAGCGGAUGGACGCGCUGGAAAGCACCAGCAACAGCCUACUGGAUCGUGUGCGAAAGAUCGAGUCAGACACAUCCGCCGACGUGGGCGGCAUCAACCGAGUAUCAGCGGAGUCUGCCUCCCCGUCCGUCACGCGCACUUCAGACUCGCUGGAGUCGGCACCGCGGCCCUCAACCCGCGCACCGUCCAAGGCCGUUAACUAACGCUCGUGCCAACACGGCCUCUCCGUAGAGUGGCAGCACGAAGUGUGAGGCGCAGCUGCAGAUAGGGGAACGAAAUUUUUUUUUCGAAUUUGUGUGGUUUUUGAGCGUCAUCUACAUCGUUGGUGGAGUGCCGCAGGCAGCCUGACCACAGGGCCUCGACGGGUUCUGAUAUAGUUCAGCAACGGCGAGUAGUUCGUGCUGUCUUCCUGUGUAGUGCGCAGGUGAGGGGGUAGAGAAAGGGACACACGUCCGUGCUCAUGCAUGAAGAGCACUCGUGGCAUUCACUGCUGGAGUCGCUCCCGUAGGUGGAAUGAGUAAAGCGAAGCCAACAUACGAGAUGAACGCGGGGUCUCUUGUUUUUUCACCGACGGAUACGCUCAUCUCCCAUGGCCCUGCUCUCUCUCUCACGCUCUUGGCACGUCGUGUCUUCUGUCUGAGUGUUGCGCGUGCUUGACUCCCCUUACUGUAGUGCUGCUGCCAUGCGCAAGCAAACUUCGAUUCCUAAAAGCGGUCGGCCUGCAUGAGCCCCCGCUAACCUUGUAGCUCGUUUCUCUUUUUUUUUUUGCACAUGUGUGUGUCUCGGUGUGCCCGCGUGACGACGACGAUGUGCCCGCCGUUAGAGUUGAUUGUUGAUUCUUCUUCUUCCCACUUACGGCAAUCGCACUAUGCCGAUCGGAAGAAAAUGGAGGAGGGAGGGAGGGCGAGGGCAGAUGUGAACUGCAAUCUGAAGGAGGUCGUGCUCUCUUUCCCCCUCCUUUGUGCUCUGCGCCGUCGAAGAAUGCUAUUUUGCCCGCAGGCGGAGAUGCCUGAUGUGGAAAGGGGGGGAUGUCUUCCCGCGCCCGCUUGGCUCUUUUCGUGUCUUCUGCACAAGGUCCCCGGCCCUCUUCAGCCGGUCUCGCCACCCAGCAAGCAGAGAGAUAAUGGAGAUAAAUAAGGUCGCUGAUCAGGCGGCCUCCACAAACCAGGAUUGCGUUUUCUCUUCAUUUCUCGGGUGCCGGGCACCCCUGAUGACGAGGAUGGGCACACCUCUCGGCUCAUGGUGGCUCAGAGUCCAGUGCCCCUUCCCCCCACUCUCUUCGGAAGCCAGGCAACCCUCCUCCCUCAUCUCUAUCCCUGCCUAUGCCAGAGCCACCUCUGGCGCUGGCAGGGCGGUGCAUCGCUGCUGACAGCGGACCGCCAGGUCCUGGGCGGCGUGGCGUCCGGGUGAUCUGCAGCCGCGAACGCGCGUGUGCACUCUCCACAUGAUGGGCAGAGUGUCCGCGUGACUCGAACGCAUCCCACCCCCGGCCCUCGCACGGCCCACUGGUGUGGGGAGAUCUGAGCCGUCCCGAGGAGAGGGGGGUGGGAUGCACCAGGGGUGGCAGCCGGCAUAGCGGGGGAGCGGCUGUGAGGCGACCUGCACGGUGAAGGCUGGCCAGAGUUUGAGGCAGAGACGGUGCUGAGAUGACGGGGCCGGCGCAUUGCUGUAAUGCGUGUGCCUAGCGUUGCUUCGCACCCCGCUGGUGGGGCCUGUGACAGACCCUGCGUAGAGCACAGUUGAGCUCGUGCUGUACGGGACAUAGAAUGG
rnacentral:misc_RNA from 1 species